rnacentral:tRNA from 1 species
GCCUGGGUGGCCGAAAAUAGCGUUAGACUUUUAAUCUAAAAAACGGUAAUAACCUAUUACCCCCAGGCA